rnacentral:misc_RNA from 1 species
CUCCAGGUGUGUGAUAUGUUCUUGGGUAAUUCAAAAAGAUAAAAUAGAAAUUGGAUGCCUUUUGUAUCUGUGACUGAGAAUAUCUUUACAGUAAACCUGUUUAAAAAUACGCUAUAAUUGGAUGUGUUGCAUUCACUUUUGGCAUAAUUAACUCUAAUCAAUUAAGCCUUAAUCCCAAAACUAGUUGGGGUCAUCUAUAUGGAUCUGAGCAUGAUAUAAACAUCUUAAAAGAAAAAUCAAUUCCAUGCCCCUGAACUUUUUGAGAUUUGUCUGUAGAGUUUAUAUUCUUCAAUUGUGUGCUUCACAAGCUUUUCAAUCUAAGGACAUUGAAAACUUUUUAACAGCAAGAAUAAAGAAAAGAGGAGAAAUUUGGUAAUGCAGUUCA